GAAGGGGCCCCCAAACAAGGAAGCAGCGCCUGCGGGGCCUCGCCCUUACUCCUCUGCUUGAAAGGCUCCCAAGCCAGUGGGGAGGACACUGCUUCUUAUUACAGCUUCUCAGAAGCACCACUGGAAGCUCAGCAGAUGUGGGCGCCCCAGCCAACAGCACAGAGGGGUGCAGGGGAGCUACAGAGAAGCCCCUUCUGAUGCCCCAAGGAGCAAGCCGACCCCUUCCAGGCUCCAGGAACACCACAAAGCAAUAUGAAACCUGUUCAUGAGAGGAGUCAGGAAGGAAUGCCUUCCACCAAAGAAACGAGACCUCCCCGUGACCAGCGAGGAUAUGGGGAGAACCACCAGCUGCUCA
rnacentral:lncRNA from 1 species